AUUGAACGCUGGCGGCAGGCUUAACACAUGCAAGUCGAGCGGGGGAAGGUAGCUUGCUACUGGACCUAGCGGCGGACGGGUGAGUAAUGCUUAGGAAUCUGCCUAUUAGUGGGGGACAACAUCUCGAAAGGGAUGCUAAUACCGCAUACGUCCUACGGGAGAAAGCAGGGGAUCUUCGGACCUUGCGCUAAUAGAUGAGCCUAAGUCGGAUUAGCUAGUUGGUGGGGUAAAGGCCUACCAAGGCGACGAUCUGUAGCGGGUCUGAGAGGAUGAUCCGCCACACUGGGACUGAGACACGGCCCAGACUCCUAUGGGAGGCAGCAGUGGGGAAUAUUGGACAAUGGGGGGAACCCUGAUCCAGCCAUGCCGCGUGUGUGAAGAAGGCCUUAUGGUUGUAAAGCACUUUAAGCGAGGAGGAGGCUACUUUAGUUAAUACCUAGAGAUAGUGGACGUUACUCGCAGAAUAAGCACCGGCUAAUUCUGUGCCAGCCGCCGCUGUAA
rnacentral:rRNA from 1 species